AGGUAAGACGUGGAGCUGCGGGGCGGGGUUACGACGCUUUUUUGCGGCCAGACGUAAGUAAGGUCGUAGGCGGUGCGACUGCAGCUGGUGGCCGAGGAGGCGGCGCCGCCCGGCCUGUCCUCGCCAUGCGGCCGCAGCAGGCGCCGGUGUCCGGGAAGGUGUUCGUGCAGCGAGACUACAGCAGCGGCACGCGCUGCCAGUUCCAGACCAAGUUCCCCGCCGAGCUGGAGAACCGGAUUGAUAGGCAGCAGUUUGAAGAAACAGUUCGAACUCUAAAUAACCUUUAUGCAGAAGCAGAGAAGCUUGGGGGCCAAUCAUACCUGGAAGGCUGUUUGGCUUGUUUAACAGCAUACACUAUCUUCUUAUGCAUGGAAACUCAUUAUGAGAAGGUUUUAAAGAAAGUCUCCAAAUAUAUUCAAGAGCAAAAUGAGAAGAUAUAUGCUCCUCAAGGCCUGCUCCUGACAGAUCCCAUUGAAAGAGGUCUUCGAGUUUUAGAUUGAAAUUACCAUUUAUGAAGACAGAAGCAUGACCAGUGGAAGAUAAACCAUAAAUUAUAGAUACCACCUCCAGCUGGACCCCUCAUCUAUCCGCUGGCUGAUCACUGAGUGUUCCCUACCUCCUCUCCAGAGCGUCAUUCCUUUGUAUCUGCUGCCAGAGCCACGGUGCCAUUUACUCCAAGGACUAACUUUCUAAAAUUCCACACCUGGAGUGACUUCUAGUCACUCAGCAUCCACUUUGUGUCUCCAAAUUGUGUAAGACUGUAUAUCUUUUAAUUUGUUUCUGAGAAAACACAAUGAGGCAUUUCAAUUUUUAAAUUUAAAAUCAGUAAUAAAAUUUACAGUUGUGAAUUUAUUAUUUGCAAAAUAAAUUCACAAGGUUUAUUUUAUAUCUGCCACCGGUAUCAAUGGUUUACUUCAUUACUUGGGCCAGCUUCCCAGGUGGCUCUAGACUUCAAAUCACAUCUUAACCAGUAUUUAGUUCUAGUCCUUGAAAUUAAGACACUCUUCUCCAGGAUUUUGGUGAUGGUAGACUGUGUCUACGAAUUUGCUUAUCCCAGAUUUCAAAGAACUACCAGUUUUGCCAUAAUUUAAAUCCUAGAUAUCAAUUUUUUUCUGUUCAUUUUCUCAAAGUGAAACUCAUUGAAAAAAAUAAUGUAUAAUGUCAUUUGUUUCAUUAUAGGAGUUAUUCCUAACUAAUGCAGUAUGUAAUGAAUGCAAUUAUGCAAUUCCACUUGUUUGAGGGUUUUCUUGUUUUCCUGAUGAGAAGUGGUUGAGGAGGUUGGGUUGCGGGAGGGAGGUUUUUGGAAUUUGGUGUUUUUUGGGGGUUUUCUCUUUUUCGGUUUUUUUGAGGGUUUGGUUUUAUUGGGUUUUAUUUUUUGAGAAUUUUGUUAUUGCACUAUCUUGAAAGUUGGGAAAGAUAUGCUAUGUGUUGCUUGUUCAUUACAAAAAUAAAUAAGCACAAUAAAGUGGAUGCUAACCCAUCAAACUCAUCAGUGUCCCUGCUGUGUCCCUGAAUAUGUAAUAAGCAAGUGUAAUAAAUAUUUUAAUUAUAGUUUUGUUAUAAAUAUAACUUUAAAAAUUUGAUAGGAACAAUACUGUAUAUUGCUGAUUUUUAACUGUCCCUUAUGGUUUAUAAACUUUCCUUAUAUACAGUAUUCAGUACCCAGAAAUAUUAUGAUUGGUAACUUAACUGUCUUAAGUCAACAUUUCUAGUUCUUUUAGAUACAUGUUUUUUCGUUUGGGGCUUCUUAUGCCCUUGUUCAUCAUUGUGGUUUGAGAGAACUGUAUUUGGAAGAAAGUUAAGAAAUAUAUUAGGAGAAAAUGAAAUAGUUAAAAGUUUUACUUUCAGAGAUAUUGUAGGUGCUAAUACUGGAUAUAAUCUUUUAAAUUUAAUUUUCUUUAUGGAUUUGUUAGUUAUUCAAUAAAUCUCAUUGGUUUAUUUAAUAUUUUAAUUGUAUAAAACUCCUCUUACUUUUCAGCCUGUAAUCGUCUGCCUUUGAAACCUGUUGCAAUAACACAUUAGUAAAACUUUUCUUAAACAAA